ensembl:lncRNA
GUCAAGAGGGACAUGAGGGACUCCUUGUCCUCUCAGUAACACUGCUUUGCACUCACAGCCAAAGGCAGAGAAACUUCAUUCUGUCACUGGAUGCCCUCUGCGUGCAUCGGUGAGUCUCUGCAGGGCUGCUAGAAAGCUGUGCACGCAGAGCUCCACUAAUCUCAGGCUGGAUAUUAGGAAGGAAUUUCUCCUCAGAAAGAGAGGCUGAAAAACAAAGCUAUUGCACAGGAAAAGCAAUGCAACAGCUGCUUCUGACCAGUGAACUAAAGCCAUAACAAACAACAAGAAUUGUGGAAUUGUGUUUACACAGUGCAGCUUAUACCACAAUAAAUACUGCUUUACUCGUGGGAACCGUCAGGUCCAAGUGCCAGAUGUCUUCAUCAUUCUAGCAUGCAAAAAAGGCAGCAAGUGGUCUACCUGCAGCUGGAGAGACUUCUGCAUUAACUCCAGUGCAGCGGUUUGCAGUCAGUCCAAGAGUCCUGUGAGCUAACUGACAUUAAGCUACAAAUAAUUUCCCUUGGCAUUGGCAGCCCGAAUUUCCUUCCAGCUUCCACCACCACUCCGUCCUGGACAGUCCUCAUUCCUUUUUGUGCAGAUGCAUUUUGUAUUUUUGUGCAACCCAAUGGUGUAUGCAUUGCACGCAUAGCAUGAAGCAAUCUCUGCUCGAACUGUCCUGCAGUGGACCUAAGGGAUGACAGAUGAAUUUUUCUGAAGUUGAGUAUUGGGGCAGAGGCCAUUGCGUGGCAGUCAGAUUUCAGCAUUUCAGCACCUAUUUCAUUGUCAGGGAUCAAAUGUGAUUUCCAAAAGGAACUAAAUGAGAAGCAUUCCAGAUAAACAUUACUGCAUUGGCACCAAGGAGCAGCACCAUGUUGGUUUCCCAAUGGUUUCCCAUUUAUAUAAAAGGACAGUACAGAAAAUAACCCUGAGUUCCUAGAACACCUUCAAUUAUAUGUGAUGCUACACAGAUCCUUGAGGCAGCCAAGCAAACUCAAGCCCAUGAAGAGGGAAAGGUUUGGAUGCCCUGAUGCCUGCAAGAAGCCUUUUUUGCACCAUGGUGCAAAGCAUAAUUUGAGAAAACAUAUAGAGGAAAAAGUAAGAAACAGCAAGAAAGAACAAACCAGCCCUAGAUGAGUGAGAAACCUGUCUUUUUCCUGCAUUUUUAUCUAAAAAAUAUGUGUAAUUUCCAUUAAAUACAAUAAUUACUCAUUCCUUAUAAUGAUACCUUUUGAUUCAAAUGUUCUUUUGUUAUUUGUUCUAAGAAUAAAUCCUAGAUAAUUUUUCAAGAGAAAUUUUCCCUUGAGUUCCCAAGACUUUAGACUUUUUCCUGCAAAAUCCAGAGGGCUUGGUGAAAAGACGUCACACUGGGAGAUGAUGGCCAAGGUCCGAAGGACGGAGGAAGGAACAUUCAGUGGUGUAUAAAUCAGUUACUGGAAUGACCCAGAGGUCAAGGGAGGAGGAUGGAGCAAGGAAGGGAGGAGUUUAGGAAGACGAGAGAAAUGGUGUGAUAAGAAACUGGUGGAAGGGUCAGUGGGAAAGCAAAAUAGAGAAGUCUGUUAAGCUUGGCAGAUCAGCAGGAGAAGCUUUGUGAUUUGGGCCCAUUCUUUUCCUCCCAUGCAUUUGGGCAGGCAGCUCUACUAAAGGUUUGGAGGAUCAGGAUAAAGGCAGCAUAGAGGAUCUUUCAUCCAGCAUUUGCUUGAAAUGAACACAUGUUGACAAUUUAUUUCUACUGAAAAGCUGCAGAAGUCACUACAAUAACCCUCCUGUGGGUAUCUAUAAUUUCAUUACAUUAAGAUCACUUCCUUUUCUCAGCAAAGAAGUGUUUUUCCCGACUUGCUGUACUUCAUAA